rnacentral:rRNA from 1 species
GGGUGCGAUCAUGCCAGCGUUAAUGCACCGGAUCCCAUCAGGACUCCGCAGUUAAGCGCGCUUGGGCUAGAGUAGUACUGGGAUGGGUGACCUCCCGGGAAGUCCUAGUGUUGCACCCUC